CACGUUUAAACAAAUUAUUUUCCGGUUUUUACCUUUCUGCAUUUUUCAAACCGUUUCUUCUCCCCAAACUCAUCUAAAUCGUGGCCUCUCAGAGAUUAAAAAAUCCCAAACUCUAACCCUAACAAAAAUUGAAAAAUCCCUCAACCAAAAGAGAGCUCUACUGGGUACGAUUCUUUCCACAAUUUCUAGCCCUAACCAUUUCUUCCAAAUCAUAUGAGCUUCAUCUUCUUCCCCUGUGUACAAUUCACCGUUCUUGUACAAGCUCUCAAUCAAUUAUGAGCUCUUCUUCAACUUACGUCUCAAACCCUAACAAUUGAAGACUUUGGUUGUUCAAAAUUUCUCAAACCUCAAAGGGUUUUCGAACCUUUCAUUAUUAGAUUUUGAUGAUCUUCUUCCAUCUGUUAUGGAUGCCCCAAAUGAGGUACUCUUUAUUUCUUAUCGUAUAAGCCACUUAUAAUUUCGUAGAAAUGCAUAGAUUAGAUGUGAUUGGGUGUUUCAUCUGAUCUAGAUACUAUAUUUUUGAUUUGAACCUACCUGAGCCAUCUUUAGAGGCAGUUAAGUGGAUACUAUGGUAAAAGAUGGCUACAGUAAUUCUAAGUUGUCAUCAAUAGUCAUUGGUAAAAAAUCCAUCCUAUCAUUGGCAUUUUUAGAGUUUGUUGUAUCGUGCUGCUGUCUGGGAUUAUUCUUUAUUCUGCUUCCUUUCAUAAUUCUUUUUUUACCAUGGUAUCCUCUAUUGUGUCAUAGUUAGUUAGUACGUGUAGAUAGUGAUGUGUGCUGUCUCAUUCCAUUAAUUAUUUUAUUGAAAUCUUAUCCAGAUUCCAGUGAAUAGGGUUCAAACAUACCGCGAUUUGUGUAUUGUCUUGAUGAAAAUAAUAUUUUUGUCAGCUCUUUAUUUUCUUAUAAAUACAAGAUAUAAGGUGAGACGAAGUCCUUCUUUUCUGCUACAAUACUAUGCUCGAUCACAUGUUUCUAAAUGUCUAUUGGGAAAACUCAUAUGGCAUCCAUUAUGUGAUAUCUCAUAUUUAUGCACUUUUUACAUUUAUAUUUUGGUAUUAGUAAAAUACUAGUAUGGUUCAAUUCCUCUGGGGCAAGACUUUUGUUCCGCACCUUUGUUAUUUACAAAUAUACCCUUGUACCGAAUGGUGCUGCAAAAAUUAUUUGUUUUUGUCAAUACUUCUAAAGAAUAAUAAGUAGAAGAAAUACAUGUGAGAGAAAUUAAACUCAUGUGAAUAUUGGAUACAUCAAUUAAGUUAUUUAGCUAUAUUUUUCUGUACUUAAUGAUACAUACAAAGGUCACCAGUGUGUGUAGCGUAGAGUCAAUGCUCAGAUCAUAGUUCAAUCUCAAAGUCACUCUAAAACAAACUUUUGUUUGGCAGUUUGUAAGUGUUAUCGUUGGCGGUCCAUGGUGGAGAGCCAAAAUCCUGUCAUCCCGGCCGCUUUGCGGCACCAUUAUUGCAAAUUAUGGCGGAAAACCCUGCAAUUUGAUAAAACUGGUUUGUAAUUUAUCGGAUAGUCUAUCUCUUAGCAUCUAAAUAUGUUAUCUUUGUAUGAAAUUUACAGAGUUCGAUUCCACCAUUCACAUUAGACUUCAGUUGAAUUGUAUCAUAGUAAUUCUGGAAGGAAAGGAUGUAGUGAUGUACUAUAACCAUAACUGCAGAACCAAAGAAUUGGCAAAAUGCUAUUAGAGUUGAUGUUCAUGAGGUUAAUUUUGUUGGUGCUCAGGUGUUAGAAUUUAUUGCUGAUUUUGGAAAGCCUUCUACACCCCUUCCUAUAGAAAUUGUUGCUUGUGUUCCGAAAAAAGUUCACAUCGAAGGAGCUGGGGUAAUAGAAUUCAAGAUAUCAUCAACUGAAAUAACUGAUGUUAUCAAAGCUGGAUUGGAUAACCCUAUAGAGCCAGAACCCGAGAUAUAUCAGGAUUCAAAUUCAUUUUAAAAAGAUGAAGCAAAAAAAUGUUCAAGAAUGCUGUGCAAAAAUGAUAUUGGAACAUAUUGAAGCAGAAGCAAGUGCAGACAAUGAUAUGAAUUAGGCGCAAUUUUGUGUUGGAUGUUGGUGGUUGGCUGUUCGGACAAUGAUAUGAUCUUUUCUCACCAGUCUUUAAGGUUUCUUGUUUUGAUUAUAUUUUGAUAAGUGCGCAAUUGUUGUUUCAACUUAGUAGUUACUCUGGUUUAUGCUUUUUGAUAAGUAUAGUGUUAUCUCUUUAGAGUUUACAUUUUAGUGCAACUGAUGUUACCUGUUAGCACAAUGACCAUGUACCUAUUUUGAUUACAAUGAUGUUUUAAUUUAUUAUAACAAUAUUUUUACUUCUAUGGUCUUA